AAGUUGUAACAAGGUUUCCGUAGGUGAACCUGCGGAAGGAUCAUUAACAAAUCCAUAUUUUAUGCCGCAAGGCGUAGAUAUAAAUUCGCUUGGCUGGCGCAAGCUGCCAAGUUGAAAGAUUGUGUAUAUAUUCUUCUUCUUCUUUGAUGAUGAUAUAUAUAUAUAAAUGUAUGUGUAGUGUAGACAAGUGUGUGUAAAAACAAAAAAUAAUUGACAACUUUUAACAAUGGAUCUCUAGGCUCUU
rnacentral:misc_RNA from 1 species